rfam:Pan troglodytes isolate Yerkes chimp pedigree #C0471 (Clint) chromosome 12, whole genome shotgun sequence.
GCCGGGCAUGGUGGCACAUGCCUGUAAUCCCAGCUACUUGGGAGGCUGAGGCAGGAGAAUUGCUUGAAUCCGGGAGGCAGAGGUUGCAGUGAGCUGAGAUCGCGCCACUGCACUCCAGCCUGGGUAACAGGGCAAGAUUCCGUCUCAA